rnacentral:tRNA from 1 species
UCUCUGUUAGUGUAUCGGUUAGUACACGCGCCUGUCAUUCCAAACGACCGCGCGAAAGCGGGGUUCGACUCCCCGACAGAGAG